rnacentral:rRNA from 1 species
AAUCAACGCUGGCGGCGUGCCUCAGACAUGCAAGUCGAACGAUUAAACUUUCCUUCGGGGAAGAAAUAAAGUGGCGCACGGGUGAGUAACACCGUAGGUAAUCUACCUUUGAGUGGGGAAUAACUUAGGGAAACUUAAGCUAAUACCCGCAUAAUGCAGCGGCAUCGCAAAGAUGACAGUUGUUAAAGGAGCAAUCCGCUUAAAGAGGAGCCUGCGGCAGAUUAGCUAGUUGGAAGGUAACGGCUUACCAAGGCAACGAUCUGUAACCGACCUGAGAGGGUGGUCGGUCACACUGACACUGAAUAACGGGUCAGGACUCCUACGGGAGGCAGCAGUCGGGAAUUUUGGGCAAUGGGCGAAAGCCUGACCCAGCAACGCCGC